GCUCUGGUGGCCUAGAGGUUAGAGCGUCCGCCUCGGAUUCGGGAGGUCGUGGGUUCGAUCCCCGUCGAUUCAUACCAAAGACU